rnacentral:rRNA from 1 species
AAAGAUUAAGCCAUGCAUGUCUAAGUAUAAGCAAUUAUACAGCGAAACUGCGAAUGGCUCAUUAAAUCAGUUAUCGUUUAUUUGAUAGUACCUUACUACAUGGAUAACCGUGGUAAUUCUAGAGCUAAUACAUGCUAAAAAUCCCGACUUCGGAAGGGAUGUAUUUAUUAGAUUAAAAACCAAUGCCCUUCGGGGCUCUCUGGUGAUUCAUAAUAACUUCUCGAAUCGCACAGCCUUGCGCUGGCGAUGGUUCAUUCAAAUUUCUGCCCUAUCAACUUUCGACGGCUGGGUCUUGGCCAGCCAUGGUGA